rnacentral:rRNA from 1 species
CCGGAGUGGACGAACCUCUGGUGUUCGGGUUGUGUCGCCAGACGCAUUGCCCGGUAGCUAAGUUCGGAAUCGAUAACCGCUGAAAGCAUCUAAGCGGGAAGCGAGCCCUGAGAUGAGUCUUCCCUGAUACUUUAAGUAUCCUAAAGGGUUGUCGGAGACUACGACGUUGAUAGGUCAGGUGUGUAAGUGCUGUGAGGCAUUGAGCUAACUGAUACUAAUUGCCCGUGAGGCUUAACCAUACAACACCCAAGGGGUUU